rnacentral:rRNA from 1 species
GACGAACGCUGGCGGCGUGCUUAACACAUGCAAGUCGAACGGAAAGGCCCUGCUUUUGUGGGGUGCUCGAGUGGCGAACGGGUGAGUAACACGUGAGUAACCUGCCCUUGUCUUUGGGAUAACUUCAGGAGACUGGGGCUAAUACCGGAUAGGAGCUCCUGCUGCAUGGUGGGGGUUGGAAAGUUUCGGCGGUUGUGGAUGGAAUGGCGGCUUAUCAGCUUGUUGGUGGGGUAGUGGCUUACCAAGGCUAUGAAGGGUAGCCGGCCUGGGAGGGUGACCGGCCACAUUGGGACUGAGAUACGGACCAGACUCCUACGGGAGGCAGCAGUGGGGAGUAUUGCACAAUGGGGGGAAGCCUGAUGCAGCAACGCCGCGUGCGGGAUGACGGCCUUCGGGUUGUAAACCGCUGUCGCCGGUGACGAAGCGGGAGUGACGGUAAUGGGUAAAGAAGCACCGGCUAACUACGUG